GACGAACGCUGGCGGCGUGCCUAAUACAUGCAAGUCGAACGCACAGUUUAUACCGUAGCUUGCUACACCAUAGACUGUGAGUUGCGAACGGGUGAGUAACGCGUAGGUAACCUGCCUGGUAGCGGGGGAUAACUAUUGGAAACGAUAGCUAAUACCGCAUAAUAUUGAUUAUUGCAUGAUAAUUGAUUGAAAGAUGCUAUUGCAUCACUACCAGAUGGACCUGCGUUGUAUUAGCUAGUAGGUGAGGUAACGGCUCACCUAGGCGACGAUACAUAGCCGACCUGAGAGGGUGAUCGGCCACACUGGGACUGAGACACGGCCCAGACUCCUACGGGAGGCAGCAGGAGGGAAUCUUCGGCAAUGGACGAAAGUCUGACCGAGCAACGCCGCGGGAGUGAAGAAGGGUUUCGGAUCGUAAAGCUCGGUUGUAAGAGAAGAACGGGUGUGAGAGUGGAAAGUUCACACUGUGACGGUAUCUUACCAGAAAGGGACGGCUAACUACGUG
rnacentral:rRNA from 1 species